rnacentral:lncRNA from 1 species
ACAUUUCUCAAAGGCCAGGUCUCUCCUCCGGGUAUCAGCAUAACUCUUCUGCCUACUCUGAGCUGUCCGGAUGUUCUUCUUGAUCUUAACUAUCUUGGACGUGGUUUCUUCUACCAAGUCCAGGCCAAACAAUCUUCUAUCGCCCACUUCUUCCCAACAGAUCGGUGACCUGCACGGACGCCCGUAUAGCGCCUCGUAUGGGGCCAUGCCGAUGCUUGCUUGGUAACUGUUGUUGUAAG